rnacentral:lncRNA from 1 species
CUUCCUUUGAGGUAAGGAAUCGAAUUUAGCUACUGCUAGAGUGAUUUUCGGAAUGAAUUUUUGUUGAACUUUGAAAGGUUAUAUCUUGAUCAUCUUAGGUCCGUUUUGAGUCAUUCUUGAGGCUAACUUGUAGAGUUUUUCGCAAGGAUCGUCGUGGUAUAAUCUGUUUGGGUUGGAAGGGUCUCGUUUUUUCAGAACUUGGUGAUCAAGGGGCUGCCAAGUCGUAAGUCAAGACUUAUUAAUGAUUUUAAUUGUUGGAGCUUAUUUGCUAUGUUUUAGGCAUAUUUUUGUGCUAAAUUUUGGGGUAUUAGUUUAGUAAGGUAUGUGGGACGUUUUCGGGAUUCCAAUUGUGGGUCCCACAAUCCCGUUUUAGACCAAAUUUUGGGUCCAUCUCCGAAAAAUACAACUCUAGUGUCAGCAUAUUCGUAAUGACAAGGUGAUUAACCUUUUGAUAGUGGGGAAGCAUUUGGAGACAGUUCGGAGGGGAAAAGAUCUAUAGUACCCGGUUCGAGUCCGUGGUCCAGCCCAUAUAGGUUGACUCAUUAGCUAUAGUACCCGGUUCGAGUCCGUGGUCCAGCCCAUAUAGGUUGACUCAUUAGCUAUAGUACCCGGUUCGAGUCCGUGGUCCAGCCCACCCGUGCCCGACCUUUGGCUACAGCACCCGGUUCGAGUCCGUGGUCUAGUCCAUAUAGGUUGACUCAUUAGCUAUAGUACCCGGUUCGAGUCCGUGGUCCAGCCCAUAUAGGUUGACUCAUUAGCUAUAGUACCCGAUUAGAGUCCGUGAUCCAACUUACCUGUGAUCUGAUUUUGGCUACAGUACCUGAUUAGAGUCCAUGGUCCAGCCCACCCGUGCCCGACCUUUGGCAACAGCACCCGGUUCGAGUCUGUGGUCCAGCCCAUAUAGGUUGACUCAUUAGCUAUAGUACCCGGUUCGAGUCCGUGGUCCAGCUUGCACGUGGUGCAUUCAAAAUUUCUUACUGAAGCUUCAGUUUAGUCCUAAUUACUCUCAUCUGUAGGUUGAGGUGUUGGAGGUUGGAGAUGUUCCGAUUAAAGUCCGGGACGUAAUGAGAUCUUGGAAUAUGAUUGGGAAUGGUUCAGUUAAAAGUCCGGAAAUUGGUAAUAUUGUGAUAGACCUUCUAGCUCCAUUAUUUUACUUUAACUGUCGGUCCAUCUGCCGGGCUUAUGGGGGUCCGUGCAGGUGGUUUCUUUUAUUGUGCACGAGCGUACCCGUCGGGUUUAUGGGAGCCCGGCGGAGUUAGUUAGAUUGCUUGUCUUUGUUGCCUGUACGCUCGUGUACAUACCCCCCCAUUUACUACUCUUUGCACUUGAUGUGACCCUUUAUUUGCAUUUCAGUUUACUUUUUCCUUGAUUUGCCCGUCUCCUUCUGUACUUACUUUUGCUUGNNNNNNNNNNNNNNNNNNNNNNNNNNNNNNNNNNNNNNNNNNNNNNNNNNNNNNNNNNNNNNNNNNNNNNNNNNNNNNNNNNNNNNNNNNNNNNNNNNNNNNNNNNNNNNNNNNNNNNNNNNNNNNNNNNNNNNNNNNNNNNNNNNNNNNNNNNNNNNNNNNNNNNNNNNNNNNNNNNNNNNNNNNNNNNNNNNNNNNNNNNNNNNNNNNNNNNNNNNNNNNNNNNNNNNGUUUUCUACCCUAACAUCCCAUUACUUCGAGUUCCGGGAUAUGGGUCAGCUUGCCUACUGGUGGGUCAUAUAGUAGGCGCCAUCAGGACCUGAGAAAUUGGGUCUUGACAAAUUGGUAUCAGAGGCCCAGGUUCGUCGGUCUCACUUGUACAGAGCUAAUAUCUAGUAGAGUCCUGCAGAUCGGUACAGAGACAUCCGUUACUUAUCUUCGGGAGGCUACAGGAUGUCUUUAUAAACGUGUCGCUUUUGAAUCACUGUCGUGCACUGUGUGUCUUAUCGGUUUAUGAAAAUCUUACUUGAUCCACUCUUUUACAGGGAUGGCUCGAACGCGUGGUAGGGCCCCAGCUAGGGGUAGAGGCCGACCUCGAGGUCGUGCCAGAGCUACAGCACCAGCCCAGGACCGAGAGCAAACUCCGGAGCCGAUGAUAGAGGCACCAGAAGCUCCAGCACAGCAGCAACCGAUGGGCCCGGGACUAGCAUAGCCACCGCCCGAGCCUGUGGCAGCUCCAGGCAUACAGGCGAUGCUCGUACAGAUACUAGCUGCCAUUGGUUGUAUGCAGCAGGCCCCAGCUUCAGCCGCUCUAGUACUGCAGGGCCAGCCUGCACCAGCGGCACCAGUUGUUCAUCCUGACGAGUUAGAGGGCAUCAUGCCACUUCGGGAGCAGAAGAUGCUCGGGGUGUUCCUUAGACUAUCACUGCCAAGGUUUUCUAGUGCUGUGGGUGAGGAUGCCAACGAGUUUCUACUUACUUGCCGCGAGUGGUUACAGACUUUGGGUUUAGUGGAGUCGAGAGGAGCAGACUUCACCGCUUACCAGCUAGAUGGUCCCGCCAGGCAGUGGUGGUGUACAUACUUAGUGACCAGGCCAGCUGGGUUUCCACCGGUCACAUAGACUGAGUUUUCAGAGGCCUUCUUGGCCCUAUUUAUUCCCAGGAGCAUCAGAGAUCAGCUCAGAGAUCAGUUUGCUCGGUUAGAGCAGGGCUCUAUGACAGUAUCAGAGUAUGAGGCCCGAUUCCACAAGAUCUCCAGGCAUGCCGCCAUGAUAUUACCAACUGAGAUGGAGAGGGUUCGUUGUUUUGUUCGGUGUUUGAGACUACAGUUGCGGAUUGAGACUCAGUCUUUAGUCUCAGCGGGCCGCUCAUUUCUGGAUGUAGUGGACAAUGCCCGCACCAUCGAGCAGCUCCGUCGCGAGGCCCAAGGGGGCAGCGGCAAGAGAGCUAGACAGGAGGAUAGCUAUGAUAGGCGCCGUUUCAGACCCCGAGAGUCUGAUGAUAGAUCUCAGCAGAGGUUUCAGUCGGGUCAGUCUAGUAGCCCCUUCCAGGAUGCUCUCCAGGCAUCAGAGGGUGAUCAGCACCGCCAUAUUGGUUGUAGUGCUUGAUCAGCACCGCCAUAUUGGUUUUAGAGCCGAUCCUAGUCGGGGCCGAGAUAUUUCGCAAAUGGGUUCUUCUGGCCGGGGUAGAUGACCUCCAGCUCUCAGUCGACAGUCCUAGGGGUGCUAUGAGUGUGGGGAGUUAGAUCAUUGGGCCCACGAGUGUACCCAUCGCAGGUUAGCCUUACCCGCUCCACAAGCAGUAAGGCAUCCGCCAGCGCCAGCACCUCCAGCUAGAGGCGGAGGCCAGGGACAGGACCACAGGGGUGGUCACCAGGGUAUACGGGGUGGUCCCCGAGGAGGCAGGUUAGGGGGCAGAGUUGAUGCACAGGGUAGGGGAGCCCAUGCCCACUUUUAUGCAGCUCCAACUAGAGCAGAUGCUGAGACCUUGGACGAUGUGAUCACAUGUACACUGUUAUUAUUCCAUCAUCCCGCAUCCGCCUUAUUUGAUCCAGGCUCUACUUAUUCUUAUAUAUCUGUUUUGUGCUCCUCGAUUGAGUAUGAGCCCAGACCUAUUGGUUGAGCCGUUGUGUGUUUCGACCCCGGUAGGUGAUUCUUUAGUAGUGGAUCAGGUAUUUAGAUCCUGUGUGGUGACUAUUCAGAGGCGAGACACUAGGGUUGAUCUCAUUUUGCUUGACAUGAUGGAUUUUGAUUUGAUUUUGGGUAUGGAUUGGUUAUCCCCCCACCAUGCGGUCUUGGAUUGCUAUGCCAAGACCGUUACUUUAGCCAUGCCUGGUAUUCCAGCAGUGGUGUGGCGGGGCUCUUGUAGUCGCACGCCAGUUGGGGUGAUAUCUUUUGUUCGGGCCAAGAGGUUGAUGGCUAGCGGGUGUAUGACUUAUUUAGCUUAUGUUAGAGAUGUUGGUAGGGAGGGUCCUACCGUUGAUUCGGUACCUAUUGUUCAAGAGUUUAGAGAUGUGUUUCCUACCGAUCUGCCUGGUCUCCUUCCUGAUCGUGACAUUGACUUUCCUAUUGAAGUGGAACCGGGCACUAAGCCCAUUUCUAUACCACUGUACCGUAUAGCCCCCGUAGAGCUCAAGGAGCUCAGUGUUCAGAUUCAGGAUCUCUUAGAUAAGGGAUUUAUUCGGCCUAGCGUCUCGCCUUGGGGUGCCCCAGUCCUCUUCGUGAAGAAGAGAGACGUUCCUAUGCGAUUGUGCAUCGACUACAGGCAGUUGAACAAGGUGACGGUGAAGAACCGUUACCCCAUGCCUAGGAUUGAUGAUCUAUUUGACCAACUUCAGGGUGCCGUGGUAUUUUCUAAGAUUGAUUUAAGAUCCGACUACCAUCAGUUGAGGAUUAGGGCAGUGGACGUCACUAAAAUUGUAUUUAGGACUCGUUACGGCCACUAUGAGUUCCUAGUGAUGUCUUUUGGGUUGACUAACGCCCCUGCCGCGUUCAUGGACUUGAUGACUAGGGUGUUUAGGCCGUACUUUGAUUCAUUUGUCAUAGUCUUCAUAGAUGACAUUCUAGUAUACUCGCGGAGCCGGGAGGAGCAUGAGCAGCAUUUGAGGAUAGUGCUCCAGACUUUGAGAGGCCAGCGACUUUAUGCCAAGUUCUCAAAGUGCGAGUUUUGGCUUGAGUCCGUGGCAUUCUUGGGGCACGUGGUGUCUAAGGAUGACAUUAUGGUAGAUCCCGCUAAGAUUGAGGCCAUUCGUGAUUGGACCAGGCCCACCACUGUGACUGAGAUUCGGAGCUUCGUCGGAUUGACAGGCUACUACAGGCAUUUUGUUGAGGGAUUUUCUACUAUAGCAGCGCCUUUGACUUGGUUGACUCACCGGGAUGUUCCGUUUGUGUGGUCGGAAGAGUGUGAAAGUAGUUUUCUGAGGCUUAUGGAGUUGCUUGCCACCGCUCUUAUAUUGACUCUUCCAGUUGAUGGCGAGGGGUUUAAUGUUUAUUGUGACGCAUCCGGCAUCGGUUUGGGUUGUGUACUGAUGCAGCAGGGCCGCGUUAUCGCUUAUGCGUCGAGGAAGCUUAAGCCACACGAGCGCAACUACCCCACUCAUGACCUAGAGUUCGUGGCGGUAGUUUUUGCCGUUAAGAUUUGGAGGCAUUACCUGUAUAGAGUUCGAUGCGAGAUCUAUACUGAUCACAGGAGCCUUUAGUACAUUAUGAGNNNNNNNNNNNNNNNNNNNNNNNNNNNNNNNNNNNNNNNNNNNNNNNNNNNNNNNNNNNNNNNNNNNNNNNNNNNNNNNNNNNNNNNNNNNNNNNNNNNNNNNNNNNNNNNNNNNNNNNNNNNNNNNNNNNNNNNNNNNNNNNNNNNNNNNNNNNNNNNNNNNNNNNNNNNNNNNNNNNNNNNNNNNNNNNNNNNNNNNNNNNNNNNNNNNNNNNNNNNNNNNNNNNNNNNNNNNNNNNNNNNNNNNNNNNNNNNNNNNNNNNNNNNNNNNNNNNNNNNNNNNNNNNNNNNNNNNNNNNNNNNNNNNNNNNNNNNNNNNNNNNNNNNNNNNNNNNNNNNNNNNNNNNNNNNNNNNNNNNNNNNNNNNNNNNNNNNNNNNNNNNNNNNNNNNNNNNNNNNNNNNNNNNNNNNNNNNNNNNNNNNNNNNNNNNNNNNNNNNNNNNNNNNNNNNNNNNNNNNNNNNNNNNNNNNNNNNNNNNNNNNNNNNNNNNNNNNNNNNNNNNNNNNNNNNNNNNNNNNNNNNNNNNNNNNNNNNNNNNNNNNNNNNNNNNNNNNNNNNNNNNNNNNNNNNNNNNNNNNNNNNNNNNNNNNNNNNNNNNNNNNNNNNNNNNNNNNNNNNNNNNNNNNNNNNNNNNNNNNNNNNNNNNNNNNNNNNNNNNNNNNNNNNNNNNNNNNNNNNNNNNNNNNNNNNNNNNNNNNNNNNNNNNNNNNNNNNNNNNNNNNNNNNNNNNNNNNNNNNNNNNNNNNNNNNNNNNNNNNNNNNNNNNNNNNNNNNNNNNNNNNNNNNNNNNNNNNNNNNNNNNNNNNNNNNNNNNNNNNNNNNNNNNNNNNNNNNNNNNNNNNNNNNNNNNNNNNNNNNNNNNNNNNNNNNNNNNNNNNNNNNNNNNNNNNNNNNNNNNNNNNNNNNNNNNNNNNNNNNNNNNNNNNNNNNNNNNNNNNNNNNNNNNNNNNNNNNNNNNNNNNNNNNUUUGAGAGAUUAGCGACUUUAUGCCAAGUUCUCAAAGUGGGAGUUUUGACUUGAGUCCGUAGCAUUCUUGGGGCACGUGGUGUCUAAGGAUGGCAUUAUGGUAGAUUCCGCUAAGAUUGAGGCCAUUUGUGAUUGGGUCAAGCCCACCGUUGUGACUGAUAUUCGUAGCUUCGUCGGAUUGGCAUGCUACUACAGGCAUUUUGUUGAGGGAUUUUCUACUAUAGCAGCGCCUUUGACUCGGAUGACUCGCCAGGAUGUUCCGUUUGUGUGGUUGGAGGUGUGUGAGAGGAGCUUUCUGAGGCUUAAGGAGUUGCUUACCACCACUCCUAUAUUGACUCUUCCAGUUGAGGGCGAGGGCUUUACAGUUUAUUGUGACGCAUUCGGCGUUGGUUUGGGUUGUGUAUUGAUGCAGCAGGGCCGGGUUAUUGCUUAUGCGUCGAGGUAGCUUAAGAUCCAUGAGCGCAACUACCCCACUCAUGACUGAGAGUUGGUAGCGGUAGUUUUUGCGCUUAAGAUUUGGAGGAACUACCCGUAUGGAGUUCGAUGCGAGAUAUAUACUGAUCAGAGGAGCCUUCAGUACAUUAUGAGCCAGAGAGAUCUUAAUUCGAGACAACGCCGUUGGAUUGAGCUCCUGAAGGACUAUGACCUCUCUAUUCUCUACCAUCCGGGCAAGGCGAAUGUAGUAGCGGACGCCUUGAGUCGGAAGGCAGUGAGUAUGGGUAGUCUAUCCUUUCUUUCUACUACGGAGCGACCAUUAGCUUUGGACAUCCAGUCCUUAGCUAACUGGAUGAUACGGCUUGAUAUCUCUGAUUCCCGGUGUGUACUAGCUUAUGUGGAUGCUCAGUCAUCUCUGGUGGAUCGGAUUCAUAGCCGUCAGUUUGAGGAGGAGGACUUAGUGGCACUUCGAGAUCGAGUUUUGGGAGGUGACACUGGCUUGGCCACCUUAGAUUUAGAUGGGGUUUUAUGAUUUGGUGAUCGACUUUGUGUUCCAAGAGUUGGUGGUUUGAUUCAGAUGAUUCUUACCGAGGCCCAUGACUCCAAAUAUUCUAUUCAUCCGGGCACAACUAAGAAGUAUCGGGACUUGAGACAGCACUACUGGUGGAGCGGCAUGAGGAGAGAUAUUGCAGAUUAUGUAUCGCGUUGCUUGAGUUGUCAGCAUGUUAAGGCCGAGCAUUUGAGGCCUGGUGGCGAGCUUCAGAGAUUACCCAUUCCUGAGUGGAAAUGGGAGAGGAUCACCAUGGACUUGGUUGUAGGAUUACCCCGCACUUCCCGUGGUCUUGAUAGUAUUUGGGUCAUCGUGUAUCGAUUGACCAAGUCAGCACACUUCAUUCCUGUCCAUACUUCCUACAGUGCUAAGAGGUUAGCCCAUAUCUACAUUCGAGAGGUGGUUCGUCAUCAUGGUGUGCCUGUUUCCAUCAUCUCUGAUCGGGGCCCACAGUUCACAUCUAGCUUCUGGAGGACCUUCCAGGAUGAGUUGGGUACUCGUGUUGACCUUAGUCCAGCUGUCCACCCGCAGACUGAUGGUCAGUCGGAGCGCACGAUUCAGGUUCUUGAGGACAUGUUGAGGGCUUGUGUUAUGGAUUUUGGGGGUCAGGGAGACCAGUAUUUGCCUUUGGCAGAGUUUGCGUACAACAAUAGCUACCACUCAAGUAUUCAGAUGGCCCCAUUCGAGGCCUUAUAUGGUAGGCAUUGUCGCUCUCCAGUUGUUUGGUUUGAGUCUACAGAGCCAGGCCGCGCGGUACAACUUGAUGCGAGAGGCUUUAGAUCAUGUGAGGGUGAUUCAAGAUAGGUUCAGGACAGCCCAGAGUAGACAUCAGAGUUAUGCAGACCGUAGGCGUCGACCGUUGAAAUUUGUUGUUGGUGAUAGAGUAUUCCUCCGUGUGUCGUCCAUGAAGGGUGCAAUGAGAUUUGGGAGGUGGGGCAAGCUUAGUCCCAGGUAUAUAGGUCCUUUUGAGAUAUUGAGGACCGUUGGGGAGGUCGCAUAUGAGUUAGCUUUGCCCUUGGCCUUUUCAGCUAUUCACCCAGUUUUUCAUGUUUCGAUGUUGCGCCGGUAUGUUCCAGAUGAGUCCCAUGUGAUUCAGUAUGAUGCAGUUGACUUGGAUGACAGUUUGAGAUACAUUGAGGAGCUAGUUGCUAUUUUGGCCAGAGAUGUCAGACGGUUGCUUUCCAUAGCCAUUCCUGUGGUUAAGGUACAUUGGAGACAUCGUCCAGUUGAGGAGGCUACUUGGGAGACCGAGAAUGAGGUGCUGGCGCAGUUCCCCGGCUUAUUCGAGCCUUCAGGUACUUCUUGACUCUUACUUUCGCAGACGAAAGUUGUUUUAGUAAUGGAUAUUGUAAUGACCCUCCAGGUCAUUUUUAAAUGAAAGCAUUCAUUCCAUCGUUUAGAGCGUUCCUUUAGCGACCCUACGUCAUUUAUGACUUGCUGGCACUGACUGUUCGGUCGCCUGGUAGUUCGUUUGGGUUUUAGGCCCGUUUCCCUGUUUUGGAGAUUUUAUAACUUGAGAAGUUGACUUUGGUCAAACUUCUUGGAAGACGUGCUCAGAUAAAAAUUCUGACAGCUAGGUUAGCUUCGGAAUAUCAAUUUUGGUCUAGAACGGCCCUUUGUUCACUUCCCGAGGCUUUAGAUGCCCGUUGUGGAAUCUGGCUCAAAACGAUAUUGGGUGUGGGACCCAUUUUUCAUCGAAGCGAUCUCCAAUCGAAAUUCCCACUUCACCGUUGAGUCCGAAAUAUCAUUUCCAAUCAGAUUCCAUAUAUUGUUUAUUUUUUUCUGAUUCCGAACGAGUUCGGAACAUCGAAAUUUAAGUUUGGAACGCAACGCCACGUGGCAGCGUGUUGAAAUCUGGAAAUUUCCAGAUUUAAGGACAAUUUUCGUCCUUUUUUUUCCUCAUCUUCAAACAUAGAUAUCUCCUCCAUUUUAAGCUCAAAUUAGGUGAUUCAAAAGGCUAAUUUAAAGAGAAUUUUGUGGGGAAUCUCGAGGUGAGCUCAGAAACGCGAGGGGAGUCUUCGUUUGAGGUAAGGAAUCGAAUUUAGCUACUGCUAGAGUGAUUUUCGGAAUGAAUUUUUGUUGAACUUUGAAAGGUUAGAUCUUGAUCAUCUUAGGUCCUCUUUGAGUCAUUCUUGAGGCUAACUUGUAGAGUUUUUCGCAAGGAUCGUCGUGGUAUAAUCUGUUUGGGUUGGAAGGGUCUCAUUUUUCCAGAAAUUGGUGAUCAAGGGGCUGCCAAGUCAUAAGUCAAGACUUAUUAAUGAUUUUAAUUGUUGGGGCUGAUUUGCUAUGUUUUAGGCAUCUUUUUGUGCUAAAUUUUGGGGUAUUAGUUUAGUAAGGUAUGUGGGACGUUUUCGGGAUUCUAAUUGUGGGUCCCACAAUCCCGUUUUAGACCCAAUUUUGGGUCCGUCUCCGAAGUGGAUAACUCUAGUGUCGGCAUAUUCGUAAUGACGAGGUGAUUAACCUUUUGAUAGUGGGGAAGCAUUUGGAGACCGUUCGGAGGGGAAAAUCUCCGGUACCGUGAGUUGGAGCACGCGUGAUCGGCUUUCAGGUAGGCUAUGGUUUUGCCCUCAUGAGAUUGAGCAUGGUUAGGCAAUUUUUUAUUGAUUUGCUUAAGUAUGGAGGGGUUCGGGUGUCGAAUAUGCUAAAUUUCUAUAAUUCCUGCCUUAGACCUUAUUUCGAGAAAUUGUUGGAUUAUGACAGCAUGACUCUUGAUAUUAUUGAACAUCCAUACCUUGUGGUGUAUAUGAUAUUAUUGAUUUGAAGUAUGUUUGGCCUUAGUCUAGGCUUAGACUAGUGUUGCCAUAGACUUGCGAGGUUUCAGAUGUCGUUGGGCAGUAGAACUUUUUCCGACGUCGUUUCGGACGGUCAGCUCCUUGUAGACUGAUAUAGCAGACUUGAGUCUCAUAGUCUGAGCCUUAGCUAGGCGGUAACUCAUCUUAUGACCUUGAAUCUAUAAUUCCCUGCUUUUCUAUCGGCUACAGUACCCGAUUAGAGUCCGUGGUCCAGCUUACCUGUGAUCUGAUUUUGGCUACAGUACCCGGUAAGAGUCCGUGGUCCAGCCCACCCGUGCCCGACCUUUGGCUACAACACCCGGUUCGAGGCCGUGGUCCAGCCCAUAUAGGUUGACUCAUUAUCUAUAGUACCCGGUUCGAGUCCGUGGUCCAGGUUGCACGUGGUGCAUUCCCAAUUCUUUACUGAAGCUUCAGUUUAGUCCUAAUUACUCUCAUCUGUAGGUUGAGGUUUUGGAGGUUGGAGAUGUUCCGAUUAAAGUCUGGGACGUAAUGAGAUCUUGGAAUAUAAUUGGGAAUGGUUCAGUUAACGUCCGGAAAUUGGUAAUAUUAUGAUAGCCUUCUAGCUCCAUUAUUUUACUUCAACUGUCGGUGUAUCUGCCAGGUUUAUGGGGGUCCGUGCAGGUGAGUUCUUUUAUUGUGCGUGAGCGUACCCAUCGGGUUUAUGGGAGCCCGACGGAGUUAGUUAGAUUCCUUGUCUUUGUUGCCUGUACGCUCGUGUACAUACCCACAUUUACUAUUGUUUUACCCUUGAUAGUGACCCUUUAUUUGCAUUUCAGUUCACUUUUGUUUAACUUGCUCAGUCGGCCUGAUGCCUACUAGGUACCUGUUGUUUUGGUACUCAUACUACACUCUGCAUCUAUUUUCGUGAUGCAGGUCCGAGUACUAGCUACCGACGUUGAUUCAAGCCAUCUGCGAUUGUGAUCGGAGGCAAGGGUGAGCACACAACGCCUUGAUUUGCCCGUCUUCUUCUGUACUUACUUUUGCUUGUCUUUUGCCUUUUUAGACUGCUUGUUUCUGUGGUCCACUUUUAGGACUUGUACUUUUGUUAGCAGCUCUGUACUUGUGACUUCCAGGUUUUGGGAGGUAUUAAUUUUGUGUAUAUAUGUCUAGUCGCUUUCGCCCGUUCAUUGCAUGUUCUUAUUAUAUUUAUUACUAUUUUAGGUUGAUUGGUUGGUUUUCUACCCUAACAUCCCAUUACAUCGAGUUCCGGGAUAUGGGUCGGCUUGCCUACUGGUGGGUCAUAUAGUAGGCGCCAUCAGGACCUGAGAAAUUGGGUCUUGACAAAUUGGUAUCAGAGCCCCAGGUUCGUCGGUCUCACUUGUACAGAGCUAACGUCUAGUAGAGUCUUGCAGAUCGGUACGGAGACAUCCGUUACUUAUCUUUGGGAGGCUACAAGAUGUCUUUAUGAACGUGUCGCUUUUGAAUCACUGUCGUGCACUGUCUGUCUUAUCGGUUUCUGAAAAUCUUACUUGAUCCACUCUUUUACAGGGAUGGCUCGCACGCGUGGUAGGUCCUCAGCUAGGGGUAGAGGCCGACCUCGAGGUCGUGCCAGAGAUACAGCACCAGCCCAGGACCGAGACCAAACUCCGGAGCCGAUUAUAGAGGCACCAGCAGCUUCAGCACAGCAGCAACCGAUGGGCCCGGGACAAGCCUAACCACCGCCCGAGCCUGUGGCAGCUCCAGGCAUACAGGCGAUGCUCGUACAGAUACUAGCUGCCAUUGGUGGUAUGCAGCAGGCCCCAGCUUCAGCCGCUCCAGUACCUCAGGGCCAGCCUGCACCAGCGACACCGGUUGUUCAUCCUGACGAGUUAGAGGGCGUCAUGCCACUUCGGGAGCAGAAGAUGCUCGGGGUGUUCCUUAGACUAUCACCGUCGAGGUUUUCUGGGGCUGUGGGUGAGGCUGCCCAUGAGUUUCUAAUUACUUGCCGUGAGCAGCUACAGACUUUGGGUUUAGUGGAGUCGAGAGGAGCAGACUUCACCGCUUACCAGCUAGACGGUCCCGCCAGGCAGUGGUUGCGUACAUACUUAGAGACCAGGCCAGCUGGGUUUCCACCGGUCACAUGGACUGAGUUUUCAGAGGUCUUCUUGGCCCUAUUUAUUCCCAGGAGCAUCAAAGAUCAGCUCAGAGAUCAGUUUGCUCGGUUAGAGCAGGGCUCUAUGACAGUAUCAGAGUAUGAGGCCCGAUUCCACGAGAUCUCCAGGCAUGCCGCCAUGAUAUUACCAACUGAGGAAGAGAGGGUUCGUUGUUUUGUUCGGUGUUUGAGACUACAGUUGCGGUUUGAGACUCAGUCUUUAGUCUCAGCGGGCCGCUCAUUUCUGGAUGUAGUGGACCAUGUCCGCACUAUUGAGCAGCUCCGUCGCGAGGCCUAAGGGGGCAGCGACAAGAGAGCUAGACAGGUGGAUAGUCAUGAUAGGCGUCGUUUCAGACCCCGAGAGUCUUAUGAUAGAUCUCAGCAGAGGUUUCAGUCGGGUCAGUCUAGUCGCCCCUUCCAGGCCUCUCUCCAGGCCUCUCUCCAGGCAUCGGAGGGUGAUCAGCACCGCCAUAUUGGUUUUAGUGCCGGUCCUAGUCGGGGCUGAGAUAGUUCGCAGAUGGCUUCUUUUGGCCGGGGUAGACGACCUCCAGCUCUCACUCGACAGUCCUAGGGGUGCUAUGGGUGUGGGAAGUUAUAUCAUUGGGCCCGCGAGUGUCCCCAUCGCAGGUUAGCCUUACCCGCUCCACAGGCAGUUAGGCAUGCGCCAGCGCCAGCACCUCCAGCUAGAGGCAGAGGCCAGAGAUAGGACCGCAGGGGUGGUCACCAGGGUAUACGGGGUGGUCCCCGAGGAGGUAGGUUAGGGGGCAGAGCUAAUGCACAGGGUAGGGGAGGCCAGGCCCACUUUUAUGUAGCUCCAGCUAGAGCAGAUGCUUAGACCUUGGACGAAGUGAUCACAUGUACAGUGUUAUUAUGCCAUUAGCCCGCAUCCGCCAUAUUUGAUCCAGGCUCUACUUAUUCUUAUAUAUCUGUUUAUUGUGUUCCUCGAUUGAGUAUGAGCCCAGACCUAUUGGUUGAGCCGUUGCGUGUUUCGAUCCCGGUAGGUGAUUCUUUAGUAGUGGAUCAGGUAUUUAGAUCUUGUAUGGUGACUAUUCAGAGGCGAGACACUAGGGUUGAUCUCAUUUUGCUUGACAUGGUGAAUUUUGAUUUGAAUUUGGGUAUGGAUUGGUUAUCCCCCCACCGUGCGGUCUUGGAUUACUAUGCCAAGACCGUUACUUUAGCCAUGCCUGGUAUUCCACCAGUGGUGUGGCGGGGCUCUUGUAGUCGCACGCCAGUUGGGGUGAUAUAUUUUGUUCGGGCCCAGAGGUUGAUGGCUAGCGGGUGUAUGACUUAUUUAGCUUAUGUUAGAUAUGUUAGUAGGGAGAGUCCUACCGUUGAUUCAAUACCUAUUGUUCGAGAGUUUACAGAUGUGUUUCCUACCGAUCUGCUUGGUCUCCCUCCUGAUCGUGACAUUGACUUUCCUAUUGAAGUAGAGCCGGGCACUUAGCCUAUUUCUAUACCACCGUACCGUAUGGCCCCCGUAGAGCUCAAGGAGCUCAGUGUUCAGAUUCAGGAUCUCUUAGAUAAGUGAUUCAUUCGGCCUAGUGUAUCUCCUUGGGGUGUCCCAGUGCUCUUCGUGAAGAAGAGGGACGGUACUAUGCGAUUGUGCAUCGAUUACAGGCAGUUGAACAAGGUGACGGUGAAGAAUCGUUACCCCAUGCCUAGGAUUGAUGAUCUAUUUGACCAACUUCAGGGUGCUGUGGUAUUUUCUAAGAUUGAUUUAAGAUCCGGCUACCAUCAGUUGAGGAUUAGGGCAGUGGACGUCCCUAAAAUUGCAUUUAGGACUCGUUACGACCACUAUGAGUUCCUAGUGAUGUCUUUUGGGUUGACUAACGCCCCUGCCGCGUUCAUGGACUUAAUGAUUAGGGUGUUUAGGCCGUACUUGGAUUCGUUUGUCAUAGUCUUCAUAGAUGACAUUCUAGUAUACUCGCGGAGCCGGGAGGAGCAUGAGCAGCAUUUGAGGAUAGUGCUCCAGACUUUGAGAGGCCAGCGAUUUUAUGCCACGUUCUCAAAGUGCGAGAUUUGGCUUGAGUCCGUGGCAUUCUUGGGGCACGUGGUGUCUAAGGAUGGCAUUAUUGUAGAUCCCGCUAAGAUUGAGGCCAUUCGUGAUUCGGCCAGGCCCACCUCUGUGACUGAGAUUCGUAGCUUCGUCGGAUUGGCAGGCUACUACAGGCAUUUUGUUGAGGGAUUUUCUACUAUAGCAGCGCCUUUGACUUGGUUGACUCGCCGGGAUGUUUCGUUUGUGUGGUCGGAGGAGUGUGAGAGGAUUUUUCUGAGGCUUAAGGAGUUUCUUACCACCGCUCCUAUAUUGACUCUUCCAGUUGAGGGCGAGGGGUUUAAUGUUUAUUGUGACGCAUUCGGCAUCGGUUUGGGUUGUGUACUGAUGCAGUAGGGCCGCGUUAUUGCUUAUGUGUCGAGGCAGCUUACGCCGCACGAGCGCAACUACCCCACUCAUGCGUUAGAGUUGGCGGCGGUAGUUUUAGCGCUUAAGAUUUGGAGGCAUUACCUGUAUGGAGUUCGAUGGGAGUUCUAUACUGAUAACAGGAGCAUUCAGUACAUUAUGAGCCAGAGGGAUCUUAAUUCGAGACAGUGCCGUUGGAUUGAGCUCCUGAAGGACUAUGACCUCUCUAUUCUCUACCAUCCGGACAAGGCGAAUGUAGUAGCGGACGCCUUGAGUCGGAAGGCAGUGAGUAUGGGUAGUCUAUCAUUUCUUUCUACUACGGAGCGACCAUUAGCUUUGGACAUCCAGUCCUUAGCUAACUGGAUGAUACGGCCUGAUAUCUCUGAUUCCCGGUGUGUACUAGCUUAUGUGGAUGCUCAGUCAUCUCUGGUGGAUCGGAUUCAUAGUCGUCAGUUUGAGGAUGAGGACUUAGUGGCACUUCGAGUUAAAGUUUUGGGAGGUGACACUGGCUUGGCUACCUUAGAUUUAGAUGGGGUUUUAAGAUUUGGUGAUCGACUUUGUGUUCCAAGAGUUGGUGGUUUGAUUCAGAUGAUUCUUACCGAGGCCCAUGACUCCAAAUAUUCUAUUAAUCUGGGCACAACUAAGAUGUAUCGGAACUUGAGACAGCACUACUGGUGGAGCGGCAUGAGGAGAGAUAUUGCGGAUUAUGUAUCGCGUUUCUUGAGUUGUCAACAGGUUAAGGCCGAGCAUUUAGGCCUGGUGGCGAGCUUCAGAGAUUACCCAUUCCUGAGUGGAAAUGGGAGAGGAUCACCAUGGACUUCGUUGUAGGAUUACCCCGCACUUCCCGUGGUCUUGGUAGUAUUUGGGUCAUCGUGGAUCGAUUGACCAAGUCAGCACACUUCAUUCCUGUCCAUACUUCCUACAGUGCCAAGAGGUUAGCCCGUAUCUACAUUCGAGAGGUGGUUCGUCUUCAUGGUGUGCCUGUUUCCAGUCAUCUCAGAUCGGGGCCCACAGUUCACAUCUAGCUUCUGGAGGACCUUCCAGGAUGAGUUGGGUACUCGUGUUGACCUUAGUACAACUUUCCACCCGCAGACUGAUGAUCAGUCGGAGCGCACGAUUCAGGUUCUUGAGGACAUGUUGCGGGCUUGUGUUAUGGAUUUUGGAGGUCAGUGGGACCAGUUCUUGCCUUUGGCAGAGUUUGCGUAUAACAACAGCUACCACUCUAGUAUUCAGAUGGCCCCAUUCGAGGCAUUAUAUGGUAGGCGUUGUCGCUCUCCAGUUGGUUGGUUUGAGUCUACAGAGCCCAGGCCGCGCGGUACAGACUUGAUGCGAGAGGCUUUAGAUCAUGUGAGGGUGAUUCAAGAUAGGCUCAGGACAGCCCAGAAUAGACAUCAGAGUUAUGCAGACCGUAGGCGUCGACUAUUGAAAUUUACUGUUGGUGAUAGAGUAUUCCUCUGUGUGUCUCCCAUGAAGGGUAUAAUGAGAUUUGGGAGGCGGGGAAAGCUUAGCCCCAGGUAUAUAGGUCCUUUUGAGAUAUUGAGGACAGUUGGAUGAGGAUGAACUCAUAAAUUUAAAUUCCGUAUUCAUAUCAGUUCUCAGGACUGUUUUCCAGAAGUUCGUAUUAGUAGUAGAAGUUUACCAUUUGCUUGGAAUGGCGUCUCCUCCAAAGUAGUAUCUGUAUAUAUAGGCCAUUACACUUUCUAUCAGUUUAAGGAAACAUUACCUCGUUGUUUUAGUAGUGCAUAUUGUAAUGACCCUCCAGGUCAUUUUUAAAUUAAAGCAUUCAUUCCAUCGUUUAGAGCGUUCCUGUAGCGACCCCAGGUCAUUUAUGACUUGCUGGCACUGACUGUUCGGUCGCCUGGUCGUUCGUUUGGGUUUUGGGCCCGUUUCCCUGUUUUUUGAGAUUUUACAACUUGAAAAGUUGACUUUAGUCAACCUUCUUGAAAGACGUGCUCAAAUGAAAAUUCUGACAGUUAGGUUAGCUUCGGAAUAUCGAUUUUGGUCUAGAACGACCCUUUGUUCACUUCCCGAGGCUUUAGGUGCCCGUUGUGGAAUCUGGCUAAAAACGAUACUGGGUGUGGGACCCACUUUUCAUCUAAGCGAUCUCCAAUGAUCUAAGCGAUCUCCAAUGGAAAUUCCCAUUUCACUGUUUAGUCCGAAAUAUCAUUUCCAAUCAGAUUCCAUAAAUGGUUUGUGUUUUUCCGACUCCGAACGUGUCCAGAAUAUCGAAAAUAUAAGUUUGAAGAGUUGUUGAAUUCUAACGCGGUGGUGACGUGGCAGAGGCACGCGACGCCACGUGGCAGCGUGUUGAAAUCUGGAAAUUUCCAGAUUUAAGGACAAUUUUCGUCCAUUUUUUCCCCUCAUCUUCAAACAUAGAUAUCUCCUCCGUUUUAAGCUCAAAUUAGGUGAUUCAACAGGCUACUUUCAAGAGAAUUUUGUGGGGAAUCUAGAGGUGAGCUCAGAAACGCAAGGGGAGGCUUCAUUUGAGGUAAGGAAUCGAAUUUAGCUACUGCUGGAGUGAUUUUCGGAAUGAAUUUUUGUUGAACUUUGGAAGGUUAGAUCUUGAUCAUCUUUGGUCUGCUUUGAGUCAUUUUUGAGGCUAACUUGUAGAGUUUUUCGCAAGGAUCGUCGUGGUAUAAUCUGUUUGGGUUGGAAGGGUCUCGUUUUUCCAGAAAUUGGUGAUCAAGGGGCUGCCAAGUCAUAAGUCAAGACUUAUUAAUGAUUUUAAUUGUUGGGGCUGAUUUGCUAUGUUUUAGGCAUCUUUUUGUGCUAAAUUUUGGGGUAUUAGUUUAGUAAGGUAUGUGGGACGUUUUCGGGAUUCCAAUUGUGGGUCCCACAAUCCCGUUUUAGACCAAAUUUUGGGUCCGUCUCUGAAAAAUAUAAUUUUAGUGUCAGUAUAUUCGUUAUGACGAGGUGAUUAACCUUUUGAUAGUGGGGAAGCAUUUGGAGACCGUUCGGAGGGGAAAAGAUCUGGUACCGUGAGUUGGAGCACGCGUGAUCGGCUUUCAGGUAGGCUAUGGUUUUUCCCUCAUGAGAUUGAGCAUGUUUAGGCAAUUUUUUAAUGAUUUGCUUGAGUAUGGAGGGGUUCGGGUGUCGAGCGUGCUAAAUUUCUAUAAUUCCUGCCUUAGACCUUAUUUGGGGAAAUUGUUGGAUUAUGACAGCAUGACUCUUGAUAUUAUUGAACAUUCAUACCUUGUGGUGUAUAUGAUAAUAUUGAUUUGAAGUAUGUUUGGCCUUAGUCUAGGCUUAGACUAGUGUUGCCAUAGACUUGCGAGGUUUCGGAUGUCGUUGGGCAGUAGAACUUUUUCCGACGUCGUUUCGGACGGUCAGCUCCUUGUAGACUGAUAUAGCAGACUUGAGUCUGAUAAUCUGAGCCUUAGCUAGGCGGUAACUCAGCUUAUGACCUUCAAUCCAUAAUGCCCUGUUUUUCUAUCGGCUAGAGUACCUGGUUAGAGUCCGUGGUCCAGCCCACCCGUGCCCGACCUUUGGCAACAGCACCCGGUUCGAGUCCGUGGUCCAGCUUGCACGUGGUGUAUUCCCAAUUCCUUACUGAAGCUUCAGUUUUGUCCUAAUUACUCUCAUCUGUAGGUUGAGGUUUUGGAGGUUGGAGAUGUUCCGAUUAAAGUCCGGGACGUAAUGAGAUCUUGGAAUAUAAUUGGGAAUGGUUCAGUUAACGUCCGGAAAUUGGUAAUAUUGUGAUAGACCUUCUAGCUCCAUUAUUUUACUUCAACUGUCGGUGCAUCUGCCAGGCUUAUGGGGGUCCGUGCAGGUGGUUUAUUUUAUUGUGCGCGAGCGUACCCGUCGGGUUUAUGGGAGCCUGACGGAGUUAGUUAGAUUCUUUGUCUUUGUUACCUGUACGCUCGUGUACAUACCCACAUUUACUACUGUUUUACCCUUGAUUGUGACCGUUUAUUUGCAUUUCAGUUCACUUUUGCUUAUCUUGCUCAGUCGGCCUGAUGCCUACUGGGUACCUGUUGUUUUGGUACUCAUACUACCACUACAAGAAAAAUCUUUAUUUAAGACCAAUAUUUAUGGACGAGUCAAUAAUACCGUCUCUAAAAGUAGAUGUAUUGGGACGAGAUUUUAUUUCAGUCUUUAAUUCUGUAUGUUUUUGUGAAGGUACUAAAUCUAGUCUCUAGAAAAAGUAGUAACUGGUCCCAAAUCAAAAUUUAGGGGUCUUGAGAAAUAUAUAUUGAAAGGCGGGAACUGAAAUGUAAAAAAAAAUUCAUCUUUUUUCACCAAAAUUAGGCGCCUAAAAGAUCAGUACUACUGAUUGAUCAAAAUUCUAAAAGUAAAAGAAAAAAAGUAAUCGUGAAAUCAAAAACCCUAGCAACGAUAUUCCCUAACAAAAAUCUUCCCUCACAACGAUUUCUGGAAACGCACUGGUCUACCUAGCAAGAAACGCAAUACAGGUCUCUGUGUUUUCUCAGAACAGAGAAAGCAGAGGUCUGCGCAGCAGUGAUCUUCUCUCAAUCACUAUGUUCUAUUCACUCGAAUCUCAGGUAUUCCUCCACUUCUAUGAGUAGAUUUGAUUUCAUCUGUGAAGUCGAUUUGUUUUUUGUAUUGUUCGAGUUAUAUCUCUUCUUUUUUAAACUCUUGUUCUGUUAGACUAGCUGCUGACUGUUUUCUUAAAGAACAUUAAGUUUUGUAGUGUGAUAUGAUCCAAAAAAUGAAGGGGAUCAAUCCUUAAUGAAUUAAGUUACAGUUUCGUUUGGGUCUGAAGCUGAUGAACUAUGUAAAAUGCAAUAGAACUAAUGUAAAUUACCUCCUGUGGUGCUGGACAUUAAAGGUUGAAAGAGUGAUAACUUCGUUUGCAUCUGAAACUUGGGUUCUUUAAAGCUUCGUUUGCAUCUGAUGAAACUUGGACUCUUUAAAGGUUUAAAGGUUGAAAGAACUAAUGUAAAUGACUUCAUGUGGUGCUGCACAUUAAGUUACAGUUUCGUUUAAAGCAUUCUUUGAUCUUUUUCUAGCUAGUUCUCUGAUUUCUCUCUACUUGUAUCUUAGCUACGCAUCCUCUUUUGCAAGUUUUUUUUUUCUGCUCAAAAUUUGAAUUGUUGAUUGUUUUCUUCCUAUAGCAUAGUGUAUAGUGUGUGCCUAAAGAAUUGAUCAUAUUUUUACGAUGAAAUUCAUUCGAGCUAAUUAAAGAUGAAGUAUGACAUAGAACUUAUGUAAAUUACCUCUUGUAUAUGAUGUACAUAGUAGGUAGAAACAACGCUAGUUUCAUUUAGGUUUCAAAACUUGGAAAACUCGAGAUUUUCAAGAAGAUAUGUUCUAGCAGUACCACCAUAUUUUUUUCCAUUCUUGUAAAACUGAAUCACUAGUUGCUAUCUAUUUGUUCAAGUUUCACGUAAGCCUCCUCUUUUGGGACCUGAUUUUUUCUUCUUCUAUAUAUUUGAUUUGUUUGAGUUACACUACUUGUUUGAUUUCAUCUGUGAAGUCAGUUUGUUGUUUGUAUUGUUCGAUUUAUAUCUCUUCGAUUUUGAACUAUUGUUCUGUUAGACUAGUUGCUGAUCGUUUUCUUAAAGAACAUUAAGUUUUGUAGUGUGAUAUGAUCCCAAAAAUAAAGAGGAUCAGUCCUUAAAGAAUUAAGCUACAGUUUCGUUUGGGUCUGAAGUUGAUGAACUAUGUCAAAAGCAAUAGAACUAAUAUAAAUGACUUUUUGUGGUGCUGCACAUUAAAGCUUGAAAGAGUGAUAGCUUCGUUUGCAUCUGAAACUUUGAUUCUUUAGAGCUUCAUUUGCAUCUGAAACUUGGAUUCUUUAAAGCUUCGUUUGCAUCUGAUGAAACUUGGACUCUUUAAAGGUUGAAAGGCUGAAAGAACUAAUGUAAAUGACUUCCUGUGGUGCUGCACAUUAAGUUAUAGUUUCGUUUAAAGCAUUCUUUCAUCUUUUUCUAUCUGGUUCUCUGAUUUCUGUCUACUUGUAUCUCAGCUAUGCAUCCUAUUUUGCCAGUUUUUUUUUCUACUAAAAUUUGAAUUGUUGAUUGUUUUCUUCUUAUAGCAUAAUGUAUAGUGUGUGCCUAAAGAAUCGAUCAUAUUUUUACGAUGAAAUUCACUCGACCUGAUGAAAGAUGAAGUAUGACAUAGAACUUAUGCAAAUUACCUCUUGUAUAUGGUGUACAUAGUAGGUAGAAAUAACGAUAGUUUCAUUUAGGAUUCAAAACUUGGAAAACUUGAGAUUUUCAAAAAGAUAUGUUCUAGCAGUAGCACCAUAUUUUUUCCGUUCUUGUAAAACUGAAUCACUAGUUGUUCUCGAUUUGUUCAUGUUUCAUGUAAGCCUCUUCUUUUAGGACCUGAUUUUUUCUUCAUCUCUAUAUUUGAUUUGUUCGAGUUACACUACUUGUUUGAUUUCAUCUGUGAAGUCAGUUUGUUGUUUGUAUUGUUCGAGUUAUAUCUCUUCUUUUUUGAACUUUUGUUCUGUUAGGCUAGUUGUUGAUCAUUUUCUUAAAGAACAUUAAGUUUUGUAGUGUGAUAUGAUCCCAAAAAAGAAGGGGAUCAGUCCUUAAAGAAUUAAGUUACAGUUUCGUUUGGGUCUGAAGUUGAUGAACUAUGUCAAAAGCAAUAGAACUAAUAUGAAUGACUUCCUGUGGUGCUGCACAUUAAAGGUUGAAAGAGUGAUAGCUUCGUUUGCAUAUGAAACUUUGAUUCUUUAAAGCUUCGUUUGCAUCUGAUGAAACUUGGAUUCUUUAAAGGUUGAAACAACUAAUGUAAAUGACUUCUUGUGGUGCUGCACAUUAAGUUAAUGUUUGUGGCAUGAUAAGAUCCCAAAAACGAAGUUGAUCAAUCCUAAGAGAAACAAAUGUUCCUAUAGAAACAAAACAGUGAACUACUCUUAAACAGAGGCACUCACAGGUCAUGCAUUAAGACAAUGUUCGGAGAGAAGAUAUAGGAAUUUUUAUUCGACUCAAGAAAUCUAUUUUGAAUUACAAGUGAACGAAUGUUUACCUUUUAAUACUAACAGAGCACGCUGUAAAGUGUCUUCAGUUAUUAAAUCUGAUCCAAAUAUAUAGCCACGUGCAACUAAUUCUUAAAAAAGAUUUCUAUCUAACUAAAAUAAAUUAGUAAUUGCAAAAGGCACCAUUGAAUUAUUAUCUACUGUAAAUGGAUCAUAUUUUAGUGUUUUGUGUGUGUCUAAGGAAUCGAUCAUAUUUUCUUACAAUAAAAUUAACUCGAACUCACAAAAGAUGUAUGAAGCAACAUAAUUGAUACAAAUUACCUCAUGUGGUGCUGUACAUAGAAUGUAGAAAUAGUGAUAAUUCCAUUUGAGUUUCAAACUUACCAAACUUGAUAUCUUUCAAGAGAUACAUUCUUAUAGUUGCACCAUAUAUUCGGUCAUUCCUAUAAUCCUAUCAAACUCAAUCACAACAAAUUUUAUCAAAAAAGUUAUAAAAAUAUAUUGUAAUUAACUUUUAGAAGGUUAAAGAUGCAACUGACUUCUUACAGUUAUACUUCAUGUGAUUCCAUAUAUAGAAGGUAGAUACAAUGACACUUCUCUUUGGGUCCUUGAGAAAGAGAACACGGAAACCAAAUCCCCUUGUUCUACUCAUCAAGUUAUGCAAGUCUCCCAAACAACUGAAACAUGUAUGACCAACUCCCUUCCUGCAUAAGUUAGGUUGAUUCUUCCUAACAUUUUAUCAAGAAGUGGAUGACACAUUCAAUAAUUCUAUAUAUGAAUCUUUAUACAUAAGCUGGGAUAGUGCUGAUUUUGUUGAUAAAACAGAGUUGUUUUAUACAUAUGUUCCGAGUUAUUUUCAUGUUUGUGUCGUUUCUUUCUAGACAGAAAUUGGAAAACUGAUUUGCAUUGAGUUUUAGCCGUUUAGCAGCUACAACCGUAGUAAUAGCUACCACAUCUGAAAUGCUUUAGUUGUUCUGAGUUAUUUUAAUGUUUGCAUCGUUGCUUCUCUAGACAAAAAUUGAAAAACUGAUACGCAUUCAGUUUUAGCCUUUUAGAUCUCUUGGAAAUUGUUACUUCUUGUGUGCUAGCAUAUAUAAGUGAUAGAACUAUUACACUCGACCAUAUACAGAAUCUCUCGACCUGUAUAGAUACUCAACCAUAUAAAAGUUCUGCUUUGUCCACUAAGAAUAAGAUUACAAGAUAUAAAUGGCAGGAAAGAAGUAACAACGCAUUGUAGCCUCACAGUAACAACAUCCUAGCCAUAUACAAAAUGUCUCGCCCCCUAUAAGACUUAUCCUUUAUGAAUAGGCUUUUAUCGAUGCAAGAAGAACUUUGACAUCACUCUCAGGGUUAUUAAGAUAAUUUUUUUAUAUCUUUUGCUGUUGUACAUCAUGUUUUCCAUCCAUAUACAGAAUAUCUCGGCAUAAAGUCCAACAAAACAGAGAUUUCAGUUGCACCUUGAUCUGGUUUAGAGGAUCAAGUAACUAGCUAAACCUGUAUCAUUAGAAUUGCUUAACAGAUCAUUGCCUUCUUUAUCUCUAUUUUUUAAUUUUCUACACGUACAAUUGCAGGCACACAGUUUGAGAUUGUUUGGCUUCUACAAGGAUUAAUGAUGAGAAGAAAAAAGUGAUAACUUGUUUGUUUCCCCUGCUACAAUAAUAACCUGCUGGUUUAUAGCUGAAACAGUGAUAUACAUCAUGCUUGUUUAGUUACUCUGCAACAACUUCUUUCCCCUAAAACCUAAUAUAAAUCUUCUUGGUGGAGAAUUUCUCCAUUUGUGAUAGCUUAUGUCACUGAAUUUGUCCUUUCGGUAUAGAUUUGGAUUCUUGGUGAAUGCAUCUCAGUAUAGAUUUGGAUUCUUGGUGAAUACAUCUCAUCAAAGUUUUCGUAAUAAAUUUUUCUUAUGUUCUUGCAGCUUGUUGAUAUUCUGGAUAACCCUUGGUUAAUUUUAGAGUUGUUUUGUGAAGAAUGAAGCUACAAGUCAAGAUGCAAGUUUAGAAGAUGCACACGACCAUUAUUAUUUUGCUAGGAAAGUUGUGCAAGACGUGAAAUCAUAGUCUAGCUCGGGAUAUUGUUAAUUUGCUAAGCUUUUUUUUGUCAAACAAAUAUUGAAACUAACACCAUGGGAUGUUUACCUAUUUUUAUAUUUAUAUCAGCCUUUUCUAUGGAGAUUUACCAUAGCAAUCUUAUAUUUAUUGGUAGAACUUAUAAUACUUUUGUGAAAUGAGGAUCCAGAAUCAAUGGUGGACAAUUAGAGACCAAAUAUUUUGCUCGUCUCUAAAAGUUCAUCAAAGACGAGAUAGUUUCUUGUCUCUAAAAGUUUCAUCUAGGAUGAGACAACUUCUUGUCCCUAGAGGCUCAUCUAGGAUGAGGUGUUGCUUUUCUCGAAAAAUAAUCUAGGACGACGUGGUUGCUUGUCAAGAAAAAAUAAUCUAGGAUGAGGUAGUUGAUCGUCCCUAAAGAGUAAUCUAGGACGAGUUAGUUGCUAGUCUCUAAAGGGUUUAGUGACCAGAAAAUGACUAGUUUUUAAGGAAGAAAAUCAUCUAUUUGGGACGAGAUAUGUAGUCUUUAAAAGUACUUUGGUGACCAGCUUUGAUUCCGUCCCUAAACACAUUUAGCGACUAGUUAAUGGAACCUUUCCCAAUUAACCUUUAGCGAAGAAGCAUUUUAGGACGGGUGGCGACCAGCCUUUUCCCGUCUCAAAAGUCAAUUUGGGACCGGAUUUGGACAUUCUAGGACCAGAUUUCCCUUCCUUAGAAACUGUUUUUCUUGUAGUGUACACUCUGCAUCUAUUUUCAUGAUGCAGGUCCGAGUACUAGCUACCGACGUUGAUUCGAGCCAUCUGCGAUCGUGAUCGGAGGCAAGGGUGAGCACACAACGUCCUGGAUUUGCCCGUCUCCUUCUGUACUUACUUUUGCUUGUCUUUUGCCUUUUUAGACAGCUUGUUUCUGUGGUCCACUUUUAGGACUUGUACUUUUGUUAGCAGCUCUGUACUUGUGACUUCCAGGUUUUGGAGGUAUUCAUUUUGUGUAUAUAUGUCUAGUCGCUUCCGCCCG